UACGGAGGGUGCAAGCGUUAUCCGGAUUCACUGGGUUUAAAGGGUGCGUAGGUGGGCAGGUAAGUCCGUGGUGAAAUCUCUGAGCUUAACUCAGAAACUGCCGUGGAUAUUAUUUGUCUUGAAUGUUGUGGAGGUGAGCGGAAUAUGUCAUGUAGCGGUGAAAUGCUUAGAUAUGACAUAGAACACCAAUUGCGAAGGCAGCUCACUACACAAUUAUUGACGCUGAGGCACGAAAGCGUGGGGAUCAAACAGG
rnacentral:rRNA from 1 species